GACGAACGCUGGCGGCGUGCUUAACACAUGCAAGUCGAACGGAAAGGCCCUGCUUUUGUGGGGUGCUCGAGUGGCGAACGGGUGAGUAACACGUGAGUAACCUGCCCUUGACUUUGGGAUAACUUCAGGAAACUGGGGCUAAUACCGGAUCGGAGCUCCUGCUGCAUGGUGGGGGUUGGAAAGUUUCGGCGGUUGGGGAUGGACUAGCGGCUUAUCAGCUUGUUGGUGGGGUAGUGGCUUACCAAGGCUUUGACGGGUAGCCGGCCUGAGAGGGUGACCGGGCACAUUGGGACUGAGAUACGGCCCAGACGCCUACGGGAGGCAGCAGUGGGGAAUAUUGCACAAUGGGCGGAAGCCUGAUGCAGCAACGCCGCGGGCGGGAUGACGGCCUGCGGGUUGUAAACCGCUUUCGCCUGUGACGAAGCGUGAGUGACGGUAAUGGGUAAAGAAGCACCGGCUAACUACGUG
rnacentral:rRNA from 1 species